rnacentral:rRNA from 1 species
CCCUUAGAUGUUCUGGGCCGCACGCGCGCUACACUGACGAAGUCAGCGAGCAUCUCCUACGCCGAAAGGUGCGGGGAAUCUUGUGAAACUUUGUCGUGCUGGGGAUUGAUUUUUGAAAUUCUUGAUCAUCAACGAGGAAUUCCUAGUAAGCGCAAGUCAGCAGCUUGCGUUGAUUACGUCCCUGCCCUUUGUACACACCGCCCGUCGCUACUACCGAUUGAAUGGUUUAGUGAGAUUUUUGGACUGGAACUCUCUUGUUCAGCAAUGAACGAGAGGGACUCUGGGAAGCUAUUCUAACUGCAUCAUUUAGAGGAAGUAAAAGUCGUAACA